AAGUCGUAACAAGGUUUCCGGCGAAAGGAUCAUUAACACGUAUCCAACGUUAAAACCCCCCCCCCCGUGAACUUUCAAUCCUGCUCUUGUAACCCGCGUAGUUCGCAAUCUCUGGUAAAUCAUAGCCCGGAAAGUUGUUUUGAUUCAGAGACCUGAGACCAUUCAUAGGCAUUGUUUCCUCAAGCAGUCAGUGUCGGAAAGUGUCACUGAUUGUGCAAGGAUAGCGCUUCACGAUUCCUGUAGACCGUACACUCGGGCAGGAGCUAUGCCAGAGGGUCCCCAUGCCCCCUUAUAACCCCACAGUAAUACAUUGGGUCAAAAAACCGAACAACUGUUAACAAUGGAUAUCUUGGUUCUC
rnacentral:misc_RNA from 1 species